UACGAAGGGGGCUAGCGUUGCUCGGAAUCACUGGGCGUAAAGCGCACGUAGGCGGAUUGUUAAGUCGGGGGUGAAAUCCUGGAGCUCAACUCCAGAACUGCCUUUGAUACUGAGAGCUUGAGUCCGGGAGAGGUGAGUGGAACUGCGAGUGUAGAGGUGAAAUUCGUAGAUAUUCGCAAGAACACCAGUGGCGAAGGCGGCUCACUGGCCCGGUACUGACGCUGAGGUGCGAAAGCGUGGGGAGCAAACAGGG
rnacentral:rRNA from 1 species